AUAGGCGGCAAUUCCGGUGCUCUUCUCACGCUCGGCGGUAUGGCCCUUCUCGGCGCCCUGGGAGGCGACGAAGUCGGGUCGCGUCUGGCGACUCUCUCACUACCGAAUCUACAUCCGGAUUCAAUUUUUCUGGUUUACCCAGUCGAACCGUGGAGCCGAAUCCUCCGAGAAAAAGACAUUGACAUAUUAUUACACAAUUAUCGGCAAUCAUACCUCCCAGAUUGAGAUACUUUUCAUUCUCCGAGCAAAGUUCCAACAAGAACGGCGGCACCUUCUGCUUCGCCUCCAUCAACAGAUGCUUGAGGUCAAGCAACACAGACUCGUCGUUCGCCUUAUUGAUAAAAGUCGUCGCGAUGCCGGUACGCCCGGAGCGACCGGUACGUCCUAUCCUGUGAACUGCAUCGAAAGAGGACUCAUUCCUUUGGUACGACACACUGAGAAUACACGUAUAAUCAAAAUAAAAGAAAAUGAUGGUAAAUUACCGUAAUUCUCCACGUCAUCCGGCAUAUCGUAAUUAAUCACGUGUUGCACAUCAGCAAAAUCAAGACCUUUGGACGCAACGUCCGUCGCAACCAGCACGUCCUUCCGACCUCCGCGAAAUGCCUCGACGGAGCGUGAUCUCUCUUCCUGAUCUGUAGCACAGAAGUAACAGCCCUCGAAUAUCCCACGAUACUCGUGAAUAGCAUCCACAUCGCGCUUCUUCUCCGCGAAUAUCAACACCGGUGGCGCGGUCUUUUGGAGACACUCCAGGAGAUAAACAAUUUUAGCCUCCUGCUUGACGUACUCGACUUCCUGUAUCACGUUCAUCGAAGCGGCGCCG
rnacentral:lncRNA from 1 species